rnacentral:rRNA from 1 species
UACGUAGGGACCAAGCGUUGUUCGGAUUUACUGGGCGUAAAGGGCGCGUAGGCGGCAAAUUAAGUCAGCUGUGAAAUCUCCGAGCUUAACUCGGAACUGUCAGUUGAUACUGAUGUGCUAGAGUGCGGAAGGGGCAAUCGGAAUUCUUGGUGUAGCGGUGAAAUGCGUAGAUAUCAAGAGGAACACCUGAGGUGAAGACGGGUUGCUGGGCCGACACUGACGCUGAGUGCGCGAAAGCCAGGGGAGCAAAGCGGGG